CUCUGUGUCGGUGGCACUGCUGAUGACGUUGGUGAUCUUGGCUUUGAGACUGGUGGAGGUGGUGUUGUUCUUGUUGACGGUCUCAUAGCGACCCGUACCCAGGGAGACAACACACUGCACUGGGGUGUUGGGCCACAGCAGCUUACACUCAUGGAUGGCCAACGCUGUGGGGUUGUUGAUGAGGAGACCACCAUCCUGGAAACACACAGAGACAAUCUGACUUCAGAAAAAUACCACAAGGAUUUUAGACGGACCGAAGCAGUUGUGAAUGUCAGCAGCUGCAGACAGACAAGAUUAGCCAGACACAGAGGGCUCUUGAGACCUGUUAACCAACAAGCCAACGUGAUUCUCCUGUUGUGCAUCAUCGUGACUAAGCAGAGAUUUCAUGGCACCUUAAUGCAUCUGGACACUUCGCUGCAGGCCUCAUGAUUAAACACUAAACUAGCCAAAUAAAACCUUGCCUGGCUGCAAUUAAACUGUGACCAGAUCACUGGUCUUUAUGUUAUCAUGAUA
ensembl:lncRNA